AAAAGGGUAAAUAAACAACCAUAAUGAUAAUCAAUUCAACAAAAUUAAUUCAAAAUGAAAGUAGUCAUGGUCUUGGCCUUAACCCCGGAAAGGGGGCGUUAAGCCGCUAAUCGACAUAACCGUAAUACAAUAUAAUUGAAUACAUGUUAUGAUCCAUUAAAAAGAUGUAGUAAGGAGAUAAUAAACCCUAAAAAAGAAGUGCAGUAGCCUCCUGUAGUCCAAUAAUAACUCAUAAGUGAUUUGCAAAAGUGACAAAUCCUAUUUAUAGUAGUAGGCAAUUUAUUGUCUGUGGGAACAACGAUGCGCCAUAUUGGUUAUCACGUUGAAGUAGUGGUGUGUCGGACCUAAUUUGAAUUGGUUCAUUAUUUGGGUGCCUUAUGAAUCUUUUGGUGUAUGGAAUGUACCCAUUGGUCAAUCCCAAGGUCCUCCACGCCCCCUGGACAUUCAAGGUGUCCGUUUGAUGUCAAAUUAUGUCUUGUGCUUUUGUUGAUCCAUUCUAAGCCGUUUUGUGAUGUUUCCACUUGAUUUGAAGCUUUUAUAUCCUUUAAAUAUCAUCAUAGUCAACUCAACAAGCAAAAUAUGAUAUUAAACAAAACACAUUAGAGCUCAAAACAUCACAACAUCCAAGAUGACGAACUAGAAACUCAAGCUAAGAAUGCUAGUUUGUGUCCUUUUGAUCUUUAACUUGGUUUUGAAUCAUGGCUUGUUUAAAUUGACCCUUGAACAUUACAAACAAGUUGUUUCAAAUAUAAUUACACAAUAAAAUCAUUUGUAACUCAUUAAGAACAAUAGAAUCCAACGCGAUAGACUAGAACAACACCCAGCUCAAGCUAGUUAAACUAAUUUUUUCAGUUGAACUCUAAAUGAUCCAUUUAAACCCAAACUUGUUUGAAAACACCUUUAAACUUUGUAAUUACACACUUGAACACUUAGAUUCUUAUUUAUAUCAUUAUGAACUCAUGAAUCACUCACGAAGUCCUUAAAACAAGGCUAAAUAAGCUAACAUAGCAACACUAAAGUGCAUAAAUACACCCAAUAUCACCACCCUACACUUAAAGCCUUGUUCGUCCUCGAACAACUAUUUACUGUAAGAAUCAUAAGCUAAGGAGACUCCACACUUAUACUAUAUGCGAACACUCAAUCUAGUACUAUAAUGACUACACAGAAUGCAUUCUCCCUUACUAAGCAUGUUACGACACAAUUGUAAGCUCAAGAAUACUACUUCAAAACAUCCUAGCCUCAAGAAUUGAUUCGCCACAUAGAAAACCUAUGCAUAUUGAUCAAUAUAAGACAUCAUAUAAAUCAUCCAACAUUCAUCAAACAUGUUACCUCAUAAUAAAAGAGUUACCCAUAAUCACUCGCAAUGAUGUAAUUUAUAACACAAUGGAUACACAAAUCAAAUUACGCUCACUCUCAAAAAGAAUUCACAAGUUACAAAUGAUGAACCAUAAGCUUGUCCUUAGUGUAGUACUCCACUAAUAUAAGAAUGAUGAAAAUUAGUAUUAAAUAGGACUUUACGGGUCGUAAUGCAGGCUAAGGGAUGGGUAAGAACUAUUUUGGCCAAGAAUAGUAACUAUCUUCCCUAAGAGAUUUAAUAUAUCAUAUUAUACAGUCAGAGCCAAUCUCCAACAACGAAUUUACACCACUUUUGUCAACCUCAUUCUAUUGUUUUCACCCCAUCUUAUUAAGAUCAUUUACAAACAGUAUGGUGAGAGUAUGCUGUGCAUAACUUAUUCAAUUUGAACAAAUUUUUAUUCUUUUCAUUACUCAACUCCCAACCACGACACAUAACUAUUGUACACACCAACAACUAUCACUUUGGGGCUUCAAUUUCAACUUUCUCCUACUUGAAUUUCCAACUCCUUAAAUUAAUUUUCCACUAAAGCACUUAGGAGCUUUUGGAUUAAAUUAUGGUCUAUAAAAGAAGGAAUUAGGCUAAUAUGAGGCUACUAAAGAGAAAGCUAAAGACUCAAUGGGGCUUAAUAGGAUUAUGCUCUAGGGUAGGUCAAAAAGAAGGUAUAAAACAAGGCUAUCAAAGAAAUACCUAAAUCAUCCCCUAAACCCAUACUCUUUAUUUCGGUCUGCACACACAUCAGGUAAGUUCUAGAGAUCAUAUGCAACAAGGAAUAUAAAAAACCUCAUACAUACAUGGAACAUGCUCUACUCACGUAAGAUCAACAUAGACUCUUAACCAAAUAAUAGCAUGAAUUCCAAUUAAGCGAACAAGUACAAGAGUCUUAAACAUGAGCCUGGGAGUCACAACAGUAGCAAUUCAUACAAUCAACAUUCUUUUUACCAUAAAAACAUUUGAAUCAUGUAAUCAACAAUAGAACCAACAAGAACAUCUUACUCCUAACACAAAUUUUUUUAUAUUUACCCUAAAAAAUGGGAAUUUCCCUACCCCACACUGAAAAAUCUACUUUGUACCCAAAGUAUACUUUAAAAGUAGAGAUAGAAAUACUCUUUGAGGCCUCUAGGCCUAGCUAGCAACAUCCUUAUACAUCACCGGGGUUUAGGGGACCCCAUACUUAGUCUUUGCCAUGCUUCUUAGCUCAAUUUUUCGGUACUCAGACUUCCCAUCAACCUACAUAACUUGGGUUGCAUCCAAAAAAGCACCUAAUAUAGUGUCGCAGCACAACCCACAUCAACUUUUUCCUCUAUAUUGAGGAUAUGAAUUUCACCCUCAAUAUAACAUCCAUAUUUUUGGCCCAUUCAUAUAAAGGUGGUACAAAGAUUAAAGAACCAAUUAAUGAUGGAGCAUGGUAUACCAGUUGGCCUUAAAGUGAGGUGUGUUUUUAUAUUACUUGUCUGGUGCAAAAUUAAGAAUAUAGGAUUCUUGUUCCUCUUCUUUACACUCUCCCAUUAUUUCAGAUGAUUUCACAGACAAUACAUCAUAUAAACAUAAUAUUUAAAAGUGCUUUGAGUGAGGAAUAACUAAUCCCAUUUCAAAAUUUACACAAUCUACUACACACUCACUUUUAUUCACCUUCUCAAUUUCAGUCUCAAGGGAAAGAUGUCAGUUGAAUGGCUGAAAUUAUUGUGUUUUUCUCUGCCUCUAUGAAAAUAGUGGUGGUAGUAUCUCCUUAACUUAUUCAGCAACUACAUGUUUCAAGUACUCAGACUUCCUCAAAUUAUCAACAACAUUGUCUGCAAUUGGUUGGUGAGUUAACUCUGUAUCUACCUCCUUAGUUGACUUUUAAGCGUUGCCCCAAAAUAUGACUGAAUCAGGAUUAAAACCACAUAUAUCUAAAGAAUAAUACAUAUUACCACAAACCACACACCUGCUUAUAGUCUACUGCACAGGUUUCAAACUAGUAGGUCCCCUCCAAAUGCUUGGAUCAAAGUUUGGACAAAAAUCCUCGUGAUGGGGUCCUUCACAAAAAUGAUAGGAAUUAUCAUCCCUCAAAAACCAUCUAGCCCAGACUGACAUAUCAUGAAAAGUGUAAGAAAUAAAAAAAGAAUAAAGAAACUAAAAAUAAAAAUUACUAAAAUAUGUACAACUCAAUAUAGCUUAACUAUAAAAAAGAUAGUUGCCUAUUUACAAGUCCCCCACAACGGCGCCAAAAACUCGACAGCGCCCAAAUGCACACGCAAGUGUACGUGGUGUACCAAGUAAUAUAGUGGCCUUAAAAAAAGCCAAAUAUAUAUCCCAUAGGGACUUAUUCUAAACAAAUACUCAAUUCUAGUUCAAUAAUUAAGAUAAAGUAACCAAGAGAGUUUAAGAGUUAUAAACUAAAAGUAAAGUAACUAAUGCAGAAAAGUAUGACUUUGGAUAAUCAAUGGAAAGAGCCCCAGGGUUAUGGCUUACGAUCAAUCAUACUAUGCAAUUGAACUUCAUUCGUUAGAUUUCUUUUCUUGGUUAUUGAUUUGAAGGAUUUAUCGUAUGAUCAUGAUCUCCCGACCUCUAAUCGUCUACCUAACUUGGACAUUACAACUACAUCAUUGAGCGAGAAUAUAAUAAUCCAAUUAAGAGUGUAAAUUUAUCAUUCUAUAUAUGAACCAAACAAGUCUUCUAGGUAUAACCCUAUCCUAGAUGCUAAUUCAAAUCCCUUAUUUUAUAAAGGAAUAAGAACCUUGUUCUAUCUACCCCAUGUUCUAUCUUUCUAUUCCCUUCUGAGAUCACAGGGUUGACAAUUAAUAUAUUCUAAGGGUCAUGAAUCCUACAAAUAGUUAUAACCAUGGUAAAUAAACAAACAUAAUGAUAAUCAAUUCAACAAACUUAAUUCAAAAUUAAAGUAGUCAUGAUCUUGGCCUUAACCCCAAAAAGGGGGCAUUUAGUCGCUAAUCGACAAAACCGUAAUCAACAUGAUUGAAUACAUGUUCUGAUCCAUUAAAAAUAUGUAGUAAAGAGAUAAUAAAACCUAAAAAUAAAGUGCAUCAUCCACCUCUCAUCCAAUAAUAAUCCGAAAGUAAUUUACAAACCAAUUUAUAGUAGAAGGCAAUUUGUUAUCGGUAGGAAUAGUGAUGCGCUGCAUUAGUUAUCACUGUGAAGGAGUGGUGUGUUGCGCCUAAUUCGCAUUGGUUUACUAUUUUCGGUGCCUUAUGAAUAUUUUGGUUUAUUUCAUGCUCCCAUUGGACAAUCCCAAGUUCUUCCACGCGCCUAGGACAUUCAAGGUGUCUGUUUAACAUCAAAUUGUGUCUUGUACUUUCAUUGAUCCAUUCCAAGACUUUUUGUGUUGUUUCCAAUUAAUUUGAAGCUUGUAUAUCCUAUAUAUAUCAUCGUAUUCAACUAAACAAGCAAAAUAUAGCAUUAAACACAACAAAUUAGAGAUCAAAACACCACAACAUCUAAGAUGAUGAACUAGAAACUCAAGCUAAGAAUGAUAGUUUGUGUCUUUUAGAUCUUUAACUUGGUUAUGACUCUUGGAUUGUUUCAAUUGACCCUUGAACAUUAUAAAAAUGUUAUUCAACAUAUAAUUACAUAAUAAAAUCAUUUGGAACUCAUUAAGAACUAUAUAAUCUAACACGAUAGAGGAGAACAAGACCCAGCUUAAGCUAGUCAAAUUAGUUUUCUUGGUUGAAAUCUAAAUGAUCCAUUUAAACCCAAACUUUUUUCAAAACACCUUUAAACAUUGUAACUAUACACUUGGUCACUUAGAUGCAUAUUUAUAUCAUUAUAAACACAUAAAUCACUCACGAAGUCCUCAAAACAAGGCUAAAUAAGCUAAGAUAGUGUAAUACCUCGUAUUUUUCUAGCCUAGAUUAACCCUCAGUACAUGGGUUAUCCUAAAUAAAUUUUUUGAAUAUACUUAAAAAUUUCAAAAUAGAUCCUGCCAUUGCAUAGGAAAUUCAAUUAUCUCUCCAACUAUAUAAAAUUUACCUAAAUUCAACAACCGGGUAAGAAGUUAUGGCGAUUUUAAGUUUUAGUCGUUAAACAUCGUCAUUCAGGCCUGUAGCGCAUCGUGGAGUGUGUCAAAAUAGAAAUUGUCAAUUUUAAGUGUUUCUCCAUAAUAUUGGCACAUCGCACCAUAGACCCAGUUCACAAAUGUCAAUUUUCAGUGUACCAAUGCAAUUCCACCGCAUAGCGGUGCACUUCCAGUACACAAACAAAGUGGCAAUGUGAUACCACUGCAUCGUGCCACCGAGCAAUUUCCUAGUUCUCCUCUUUCUAGUGACACAGUGUGAUAGCAUCGUAUCGCGCCAAGGGUCCAGAUCGAGAUUUUUCAAUUAAUUUCCAAGUUUAAAUUCUGAGGUUUUAAAUCAUUCUAGGGGUAUUUGAGUCUUUUUCCACAGCCCUAGUCAUUCUUUAACACAAAAAUACACACUAAUAAACCUAGUUACAACAUUAUUCAUUCAGUUUUUCCACAAAUUAAAUCAUUCUCUCUCAAGAGGCAAAAACCCUAGUUCAAAAAUGUAGGUCAAUCCUUAAGAAUCUCUCCAAGAACUAUCAAGAACUCUUCUUCUCAAGUAUGUUAGAUGUUGAUUCAUGGGUCUCUUUCACCCAUGAAGUCCAAGAAUCCCUUUUCAAAGUACAAAUAUGGUGUAUUUAUGAUUUCCAUGUUGGAAUUAGACUGAAUUCAUGUUUAUAAUAUUAGUUGGGUUCCAAUCCAUGAUUUAAAUUCAAGUUUCAUGAAAUUAAAUAGCAUGUAUAACAAAUAUGUGAUUAUCUUGACAAACCCUUAAAUUUAUAGAGUGAUUAAUGCAUCUAUGAUAUUGAUUUGGUUUUCAAUCCAUGAUUAUGAUAAGAUUCAUGAAAAAUAGAAUAGUAUUUAGGCAGAAUUAUAUGAAUUACAUGCUAAACCUUUGAAUUUUCAAUUAAGUAAUAUAUUCAUGUUGUUUAUGUGAUGACCAUUAUCAGGUGAAAUACUCAUGCUCCCCAAGUAUUAACUAAAAUGUCUAUCUAAAGUAGAAUCAGGAAUCAUGUGAUGUUAUUAUGAGAUCUUAAUCAUGUAAAAGCUAAUGCCCUACAAGUUUUUGAUAAAAUGCUUAUGUGAAUUGACUAGUGAAUACAUAACAUGUAAUUAUGUGAUCCAAUUCAUGUACAAGUUAAUGCAUUACAAGUGUUUCAUGAAAUGUCUCUAUGAAUAAAUUAUGACCAAGUGAACAUUGUUAUAUUAUUCAAGAUUAUGCUUUGCUUUACUUUUUAUGCUAUCGAGUCCUGGAGUAUUUAAUACCCGACAAUUUAGCUAUUUACCUAGAGCCAGUGUCAGUUAUAGAAUAGUAUCAGUCAUGUCACAAUCAGUACUCUAAGUCCGUUACAAAACUCAGUAGAACUCAGUUAAUUACAAAACUUAGGAAAACUCAGUAAACUCAAUCUCAGUCCAUCCAGUCUGAUAUACUCAAUUCAGUGUCUUUCANNNNNNNNNNNNNNNNNNNNNNNNNNNNNNNNNNNNNNNAUUCCUGUUAGUGUAGGGUUUGACCCAUAGAAGCAAUCCUCAAGUUACAGAUCUAUGUAGCCAGCGUAGGUUGAGAUGACUUCCUGCUAAAUAAGGGUUGACACAUCUCUCAUAAGUUUUCCUGUCAAUAAGGGUUGACAAAAUAUCUUUCUAACUUACAGCCAGUGUUAGUAACCGUGACAUGCUAUUAGCACCCUUCAAACUGUGGUUACAAAUUAGACCCCAAUCAGCUCAGAGAGAGGCAUGUCGGUUAGAUGAUUACCUCCCAUAAUUUCAGUUUCAGUUUCAGUCUUCUAUUUAGAACUCAGCUCAAUUUUUACAGAAUCAAGACUGUCAGACAUAAUCAAUCAUUAUCAGUAAUUUCAGAUAUUAAUUAUACAGUUAGCAGAACUCAGUACUUAGCUGCAGCAAAGCGCAAUUAUAGUAUACACAAAUAUUUAUGUUCAGUUACUCUAUAUCAUUUAGUUAGUUAUUGUUCAUGCAUAUGAACCUUUGCAUUCAGCCUUACCUCAUCUAGCAAACGAAUACAUUCUCACGUACUGACACAUACUUUCCUAUACUGUGAUGUUUCAUAUCAUAAGUUCGGACGCUCAGGUUCCUGACCGCUCUUAGUACGACUCAGCCAGCAGUAGCAAAUUCAGUAGUGAGUCCUCAUCUAUCGAGGAUAUGCUUUUAUUUUAUUACUUCAACUUACCAGUAUUUUAGUAGAUGGAGUUAGUUGGGGGAUUGUCCCAUCAACUCCACUCUCAGACAGGUUCAGUUAGAGGCUUUUUCGACUAGAUUUUUAGAUAGUAUUUCAGAUUCAGAUGAUAUUAUUCAUUAUUAAUAUUUUAGAUAUUUUGAACCUUAUGGCAUUUCAUCUUAUUAUUCCACAAUUAUUCUAGUAUUUUUGUUCAGUGCUCACAGCAGAUAUCAUUCAUAGGUUAGCUUGUGGUCCUUCGGGGUCAUAAGCACCGUGUCAUGACUAGGGGUAGUCUCAGGUCGUUACAAACUUGGUAUCAGAGCCUGGUUCAAUAGUUUCCUAAGGAGUCUUAAAAUUCAUAUCGCAUAGAGUCUGAUAUAUGUGUGUGUAGCAUGCCAUACUUAUGGAUAGGAGGUUAUGAGAUGUUUUAGGAAAAGUUUCCUUUCUUUUAGUAUUCAUAUUGUGCGAGUAAGCGUGAGAACAUGUUAAUCUAUUAGUCUAAUCCAUUUUUUCUUUCAUUUAUAAAAAACGCCUCCCAAAAGGACUAAAGAAAUAAGAAGCGGAAACCAGUCAGCCCCUCAGCUCAUUCAGGUAAAUCCCUUGGACGAACAUGUCUCUCAUACAGAAUUUAGAGUACAUUCACUACUAUAGCCAAUUAAGCCAUAGCCAACGACCAGCUACUAUUUCGGCCAACCCAGUGGCUAAUAUUACGGCAACCAAGAUUUGGGACUUCACCUAAAUGAAUCCUCUUUUCUUUAUGGGAUCUAAGUUUGAAGGAGAUCUACAGGAGUUCCUCGAUCAGGUUCAGAAAGUCAUAAAUAUCAUGGGAGUGACUUCCCCUGAGAGUGCUAAGUUAGCCACCUAUCAGCUAUAAGAUGUAGACCAUAAAUGGUUUAAUAAAUGGAAGGUAGAUAGAUGUAUAGAUGCAGAGCCCAUAGAGUGAGAAGAGUUUGAUACUGCCUUCCUAGACAGAUUCUUUCCCUUAGAGCUAAGAGAAGCUAACAUGUUAGAGUUCAUCAAUCUCACACAAGGUAGUAUGAGCAUAAAAGAGUAUUCCCUCAAGUUUACUCAGUUAGCUAGGUAUGCUCCCUAUAUAGUAGCAGACAAUAGGUCCAGAAUGAGCAAGUUCAUAUCUGGGGUGUCAGAUAGUAUGGUUAAGGAGUGCAUAACAACAAUGUUGAUUAAAGAGAUGGACAAUUCUAGGCUUAUGGUCCAUGCUCAACAUAUUGAGGAGCAUGAUCUUAAAAAGAAGAAGAGAGAGAGAAUAAGAGGGCUAGAACAAGUAGCUUUAAUUUCAAUCAUCCUAAGUCGGAUGGGGGUAACCGUUCCUAUUUUUUGUAAAUUUUUUAAUUUCAGCUCCAUCUUCAGCUAGUGCGCCAGUACCAAAGUUCAGGAAUAACCAUUGGGACCGAGCGCCAGGCUCCAAAACCCAGGGUAGUUUAAGCAGUAGUCGUACCUAUCUAUUUUGCAAAGAAUGUAGUAGAAAUCACCAAGGUGUGUGUAAAUACGGAAGUGAUGUAAGUUUUAGAUAUGGCAAGUCAGAUCACAAAGUUUGAGAAUGUCCUAAGGCUGGUUCGUAAAGUUAGCACAGUCAUCCUCCAGUUCCAUCCGGUCGCCUGACUCAGCAAGGUACCACUUUCAGUACCACUAGUGGUCAAUGCCAUAAUAGAUUUUAUGCACUCCAGUCUCGCCAUGAUUAGGAAAGUUCUCCUGAUAUAGUUACGGGUACAUUAUAUGUCUUUCAUCUUUAUGUUUAUGCUUAGUCAAAUUCUGAGGCUUCUCUUCCUUUGUAACCCCUAUAUAGCCGUCAACUCAGUAUUAGACCCAAAAUAUUAGCAGAUCCCUCCUCAGUGUCUACCUUAGACUCUAGAAGUAAAGUGGUGAUAGCUUAGCUUAGAGUUUAUUUAGUGAUCCACAGAUUUAGGAUAAUGGAUUUAAGCUACAGGGGAGAUGGUAGAACAAGUAACCAAGUCAGGAUUUGAGAUUUUAGUAGUAAUGUCAGGAAUGUCAGUACUCAUGCCUUACAUGUCAGCUCUAUAAUCAUAGAUCAUAUUUGUGCGCAUUAUCGAAAAGCAUGCAUGCUUGCAAUUCCUAGUAUAAGGAGUUCCAGUUCACUCUGUUGUAUAAUCAGGUUCCAUAAGUUCAAAAAUUCCAAACUCAGGUCAUGCAGUUCAUGACACACGUAUUCAUGUUUCCCAGUAUGCUCAGUUCUCAUGACUCAUGUUAUACUCUAAAUGGCCCGUGGAGUUCAGUUUAUGCCAUAUGUUCCUCAAGCCUCAACAGUACCAAAGUUAUUUAGUCGUCUUUCAGUUAGAUAGUGUCUCAUACAUUAUCACAGUUUUCCUUAAACCUUAGUCCCAUAUUUAGUACCGUCACAAACUUGGUAUUUCAUAUCAUCUUUAUGUCAGUCACGUAUUUCAUAAAUUUUUUUUUAGCCAUGUAAUCAUGCAUCAAAUAUGCAUGUUCUUUAGUUGUGCAUGUCUAGUUCAAUAUGCCAAAUCAGUCUGUCUGUACUCUCUCAUCUUAACUAGCCAUAUUUGAGGAUGAAUGAUUUCAAAGCGAACAUCCAUAUUUCCCUAGCCUAGAUUCACCCUCAGUACAUGGGUUAUCCUAAAUGAAAUUUUUGAAUACACUCAAAAGUUUUUAGAUUAGAGCUUGCCAUUGUGUAGGAAAUUUAAUUAGCUUUCUAACAAUAUAAAAUAUGCCUAAAUCCAACAACCGGGUAAGAAGUUAUGGUGAUUUUAAGUUUCAGUCGUUAAACAUCGUUAUUCAGGCCUGUUGUGCGUCGCGGAGUGUGUCAAAAUAGUAGUUUUCAAUUUCCAGUAUUUCUCCGCUAUAUUGGCGUGUCACACCAUAGAUCCUGUUCAUAAAUGUCAAUUUCUAGUUUAUCAAUGCGAUUCCACCAUGUCGCGGUGCACUUCCAGUUCACAAAUAAUGCGGCAACGCAAUACCACCGCGUCAUGCCACCAAGCAAUUUUCCAGUUGUUCUUUUUCCACUGACAUGGUGUGAUAGCGUCGCAUCGCGCCAUGGGCCCAGAUCGGGAUUUUUCAGUUAAUUUCUAGUUUUAAAUUUCGAGCUUUUAAAUUAUUCCAGGGGUAUUUGAGUCUUUUUUCAUGGCCCUAGAUAGCCUCUAACAAAAAAAUCAACCCUAAUAAAUCUAGUUACACCAUUAUUCAUUUUGUUUUUCCCCAAAUUAAAUCGUUCUCCCUUAAGAGGUAAAAACCCUAGUUCAAGAAUCAAGGUCAAUCCUCAAGAAUCUCUCCAAGAACCUGCAAGAACUCUUCUUCUCAGGUAUGUUAGAUGUUGAUUCAUGGCUUCCUUUCACCCAUGAAGUCCAAGAAUCCUUUUUCAAAGUACAAAGAUGAUGUAUUUAUGAUUUUCAUGUUUGAAUUAGAUUGAAUUCAUAUAUAUAAUAUUAGUUGGGUUCCAAUCUAUGAUUUAAAUGCAAGAAUCAUGAAAUUAAAUAGCAUGUAUAACAAAUAUGUGAUUAUCUUGAUACACCCUUAAAUUUAUAAAGUGAUUAAUGCAUCUAUGAUUGAUUUGCUUUUCAAUCCAUGAUUAUGAUAAGAUUCAUGAAAAAUAGAAUAGUAUUUAGGGGAAAUUAUAUGAAUUACAUGCUAAACCCUUGAAUUUGCAAUUAAGUAUUGUAUUCAUGAUGUUUAUAUAAUGACCAUUAUCAUAUGAAAUACUCAUGCUCCCCAAGUAUUUACUAAAAUGCCUAUGUGAAGUAAAUAGAGGAAUCAUGUGAUGUUAUUAUGAGAUCUUAAUCAUUUACAAGCUUAUGCCCUACAAGUGUUGUAUAAAAUGCUUAUGUGAAUUGACUAGUGAAGGCAUGACAUGUCAUUAUGUGAUCCCAUUCAUGUACAAGUUAAUGCAUUACAAGUGUUUGAUGAAAUGUCUCUAUGAAUGAAUUAUGACCAAGUGAACAUUAUUAUAUUAUUCAAGAUUAUGCUUUGUAUAACUUAUCAUGCUAUCGAGUCCUAGGGUAUUUAAUACCCGAUAAUUUAACUGUUCUAGAGUCAGUGUCAGUUACAGAAUAGUGUAAGUUAUAUCAUAAUUAAUACUCUUAGUCCAUUACAGAACUCAAUAGAACUCAGUCAAUUACAGAACUUAGGAAAACUCAGUAAACUCAGUCUCAGUCCAGUCCAGUCCAGUAUACUCAGUUCAGUGCCUUUUAGUUGGGAGUAGGAUUCAGCACCGAGAGAACCCAAGGAUGGGGGCACUCCUGUUAGUGUAGGGUUUGACCCUUAGUAGCAAUCCCUGAGUUACAGAACUACGUAGCCAGCAUAGGUUGAGAUGACUUCCUGCUAUCACUCAUGAUUUUUUCUGUAGGUAAAGAUUGAGAAAAUGUAUUCCUGUUAGUUAGGGCUAACUCACAGCCAGUGUUAGUACUCAUGGCAUGGUAUUAGCACCCUUCCAACUGAGGUUACAGGUUGGACGCCAAUCAACUCAGAUAGGGGCAUAUCGGUUAGAUAAUUACCUCCCACAGUUUCAAUUUCAGUUUCAGUCUUCUAUUUAGAACUCGGCUUAGUUUUAUAGAAUCAGGACUAUCGACACAUUCAAUCAUUACCAGUUAUUCAGUUAUCAGUAAUUUCAAAUAUCAGUUAUAUAGUUAGCAGAACUCAAUUAUAGUAUACACAUACUCUUAUGUUCAGUUACUCUAUAUCAUUUAGUCAGUUAAUGUUCAUAAAUAUGAACUCUUGCAUUAAGCCUUACCUCAUCUAGCAUAUCAGUACAUUCCCACAUACUUUCCUAUUCUAUGAUGUUUCAUAUCAUAAGUUCUGACACUCAUGUUCCUGACCGCGUUUACCCAGACUCAGCCAGCAGUAGCAGAUUUAGCAGUGAGUCCUCAUCUAUCGAGGAUAUGUUUAUAUUUCAGUACUUUAAUUUAGCAGUAUUUUAGUAGAUGGAGUUAGUUGAGGGAUUAUCCCAUCAACUCCACUCUCAGAUAGAUUCAGGUAGAGGCUUUUCAGACUAGAUUUCAAGACAGUUUUUCAGAUUCAAAUAUUAUUAUUCGUUAUCAGUAUUUUAGAUGUUUUGAACCUUAUGGCAUUUUAACCUAUCAUUCCACAAUUAUUACUGUAUUAUUGUUCAGUGGUCACAGUAGAUAUCAUUCAUGGGUUAGAUUGUGGUCCUUCGGGGUUGAAAGCACCGUGUGAUGACUAGAGGGUAGUCCCGAGUCAUAAUAGAUAGCAACACUAAAGUGCAUAAGUACACCCAACAUCACCACCCCACACUUAAAGCCUUGUUCGUCCUCGACCAACUCUUUACUCUAAGCAUCAUAAGCUAAGGAUACUCUACACUUCUACUAUGUGCAAGACACUCAAGCUAGUACUACAAUGACAACAUAGAAUGCAAGUUACUACACUAAGUAUGUUACAACACUAAUGAAAGCUCAAGAAUACUACUUCAAAACAUCUUAUCCAUAAGAAUUAACUCAGCACAUGGCAAACCUAUGCAUAUUGAUCAAUCUAAGACAUCAUAUAAGUCACCCAACAUUUAUCAAAUAUGUGACCUCACAACAAGAGAGUUACCCAUAAUCACUCACAAUAAUGUAAUUUAUAACACAAUGGGUACAAGAAUCAGAUUACGCUCGCUCUCUCAAAGAAUUCACAAGUUACAAAUGAUGAACCAUAAGCUUGCCCUUAGUGUAGUACUCCGCUAAUAUCAGAGAGAUAAAGAUUAGGAUCAAAUAAGACCCAAUAAUAGUGACUAUCUUCCCUAAGCGCUUUAAUACAUCAUGUUAUACAAUCGAAGCCAAUCUCCAACAAACAAUUUACACCACUUUUGUCAACCUUAUUCUAUUGUUUUCACCCCAUCUUAUUAAGCCCAGUUACAAACCCUAUGGUGAGAGUAUGCUAUGCAUAACUUAUUUAAUUUGAACAAAUUUUUAUUGUUUUCAUUACUCAACUCCCAACCACCACACAUAACAACUGCACACUAAUAACUAUUACUCUGGGGCUUAAAUUUCAGUUUUCUCCAAUUUGAAUUUCCAACUCCUUAAAUUAAUUUUCCACUAAUGAUAUUAGGAGCUUUUGGAUCAAAUUAUGGUCUAUAAAAAUGGGAUUAGAAUAAUAUAAGGCUACCAAAGAAAAAGCUAAAGGCUCAAUGUAGCUGACUAGUAUUAUGCUCAAGGAUAGGUCAAAAAAGGGUAUAAAACAAGGCUAUCAAAGAGAUGCCUAAUUUAACUCCUAAAUCCACACUCUUUAUUUUACUUUGCACAUACACUAGGCAAGUUCUAGACAUCACAUGCAACAAGGAAUAUACAACACUUCGCAUGCACAUGGCACAUGCUCAACUCACGUUGGAUCAUUAUAGACUCUUAACCAAACAAUAACAUGAAUUCAAAUUAAGCCAACAUGUACAAGAGUCAUAAAGAUAAGCCUGGUAGUCUCAACAGUAGCAAUUCAAACAAUCAACAUUUUUUUACCAUAAAAACAUUUGUAUCAUGUAGUCAACUAUAGCACCAGCAAGUACAUCUUACUUAUUCCUAACAUAAAUUUUUUAAAAUUUAUCCUAAAAAUGAAAAUUUUCCUACCCCCCACUUAAAAAUAUACUUUUUCCCCAAAGUAUACUUUAAAAGUAGAGAUUGAAAUACUCCUUGCGGACUCUAGGCCUAGCUAGUAGCAUUUUUAUACAUCAAGGGGGUUUGGGGGACCCCACACUUAGUCUUCUCCAUGCUUCUUAGCUCAAGUUUCCAAUAAUCAGACUUCCUAUGAACCUACUUAACUUGGGUUGCCUCCCAAGAAGUGCCUAAUUUAGUGUCGUGGCACGACCUACAUCAACUUUUUCCUCCACCUUGAAGAUAUGAAUUUCACCCCCAACUUUGCAUUCAUAAUUUUUCCUCACUCAUAUGAAGGUGGUAUAAAGAUUAUGGAAUCAAGUAAUGGAUAGUGCAUGGUAAUCCAGUCGGCCUUAAAGUGAGGUGUAUUUUUAUGUUGCUUGUCUGGUGCAAAAUUAAGAAUAUAGGAUUCUUGCCCCUCAUCUUUACACUCUUCCACUAUUUUAGAUGAUUCUACAGAUAAGACAUCAUCUAAACAUAAUGUUGAAAAGUUCUUUGAGUGAAGACCAACUAAUACCACUUUAAAACUUACAUAUUCUACUACACACUCAAUUUUAUUCACUUUUUCAAUUUUAGUUCUGAGGAAAUGAUGACAGCUGAAUGAAUGAAAUUCUUGUGUUUUUCUCUACCUCUGUAGAGAUGAUGGUGGUAGUAUCUCCUUAACUUUUUCAGUAACUACAUGUUUUGAGUACUUAAACUUCCUCAAAUUAUCAACAACUUUAUCUACAACUGGUUGGGGAGUCAACUCUACAUCAACCUUCUUUGUUGACUUUUGAGCAUUGCCCCCAUACAUGACUAAAUCAGGAUUAAAGCCACACAUAUCUGUAGAAUGAUGCAUAUUGACACAAAACACACACCAACUUAUGGUUUUGUACAUAAGUCGCAAACAAGCAGGUCCUCUCUAAAUGCUUAGAUCAAAGUUUGAAAAAAAAGCCUCGUGGUGGGGUCCUCCAUAAAAAUGAUAGGAAUCAUCAUCCCUCAAAAAACAUCUUUCCCAGACUGAUAUAUCAACAAAAGUGUAAUAAAUAAUAAAAUAAUAAAUAAACUAAAAAUAAAAAUUACUAAAAUAUGUACAACUUAAUAUAGCUUAACUGUAAAAAAAAAAGGUAGUUGCCUAUUUACAAGUCCCCAGCAAUGGCACAAAAAAUUGGCAGCGUCCAAGCACACACGCAAGUGUACAUGGUCAAUCAAGUAAUAUAGUGGCCUUCAAGAAGGCCGAAUAUCGAUCCUACUGGGACUUGUUCUAAAAAACUACUCAAUUCUAGUUCAACAAUUGAGAUAAAGUAACCAAGAGAGUUUUAGAGUUAAACUAAAAGUAAAUUAACUAAUGCAGAAAAGCAAUGACUUUGAAUAAUCAAUGGAUAGAGACCCAGGGUUAAGGUUUACGAACAAUCAUACUACGCCAUAGAACUUCAUUCGUUAGAUUGCUUAUCUUGGUUAUUGAGUUGUAGGGUUUAUUCCAUAAUCAUGGUCUCCUGACCUCUAAUCGUCUGCCUAACUUGGAUAUUACAACCUCAUCAUUGAGCGGGGAUAUAAUAAUCCAAUUAAAAGCAUAAAGUUAUCCUAAUACAUAUGAACCAAACAAGGCUUCUAGGUAAUCCUUAUCCUAGAUGCUUAUUCAAAUUCCUCAUUUUAUAAAGGACUAAGAACCUUGUUCUAUCUAGCCCAUGUUCUAUCUUCCUAUUCCCCCUCUUUAGAUCACAAGAUCGACAAUGAAUAUAUUCUAAGGCCCAUGAAUCAUUUAAAUUGUUAUAACAAGGAUAAAUAAUAAAACCAUAAUGAUAAUCAAUUCAACAAAGUUAAUUCAAAAUAAAAGUAGUCAUGAUCUUCGUCUUAACCCUAGAAAAGUGGCGUUUAGCCGCUAAUCGACAUAACUGUAAUUAAUAUAAUUGAAUACAUGUUAUGAUCCAUUAAAAAGUUGCAGUAAAGAUAUAAUAAACCCUAAAAAUGAAGUUCAGAAGCGUUCUCUCAUCCAAGAAUAAUCCAAAACUGAUUUUCAAAAGGUCACAAAUCCUAUUUAUAGUAGAAGGCAAUUUACUCUCGGUAGGAACAGUGACAUGCCGCAUUCGUUAUCACAUUGAAGUAGUUGUGCGACGAACCUAAUUCAUAUUGGUUCACUAUUUUGGGUGCCUUCUGAAUCUAUUUCUGUAUUGUAAAUGCCCAUUGGCCAAUCCCAAGGUCCUCCACACAUCCUGGACAUUCAAGGUGUCUGUUUGACAUCAAAUUAUGUCUUGUUCUUUCAUUGAUCCAUUCUAAGCUUUUUUGUGUUAUUUCCACUUGAUUUACAGUGUUAUAUCCUUUAUACAUCAUCAUACUCAAUUCAUCAAUCAUACUAUAACAUUAAUGACAAAAAAUUAGAGCUCAAAACAUCACAAAAUCCAAGACGACUAACUAGAAACUCAAGCUAAGAAUGCAAGUUUUUGUCCUUUUGAUCUUUAACUUGGGUUUGACUCUUGGCUUGUUUAAAUUGACCCUUUAAUAUUAUAAAAAAGUUGUUACACAUAUAAUUAUUUAAUAAAAUCAUUUGUAACUAAUUAAUCAUAAUAGAAUCCAACGCGAUAGACUAGAACCACACCCAGCUCAAGCUAGUUAAACUAGUUUUCUCGAUUGAACUCUAAAUUAUCCUUUAAACCAAAAAUUAUUUGAAAAACCCUUUAAAUAUUUUCCUUAAACACUUGAACACUUAGAUGCUUAUUUAUAUCAUUAUGAACACACAAAUCACUCACGAAGUCCUCAAAAUAAGGCUAAUUAAGCUAAGAUAGCAACACUAAAGUGCAUUAAUGCACCCAAUAUCAAGUUUGUUGAUUUAUCUAUAUUGUCAUAUGUUUAAAACUCCUAUAUUUUUAUAUGUUUGGAAUUCAUCCGCUGCUAGUUGUAUUGUCUUCUAUUUGACUAGGCAAAGGGAGUGGUCUUCGAUCCUCAAUUGAUCUUUUUAUAUGUUCAAAACUCAGUCUUAUCUUUAUAUAUGUUCGAAAUUCAUCUAUUUCUAGCUGUAUUGUAUUCUAUUUGUCUAGGAAAAGGGGGCAAUUUUAGGUCCUCAAAAAACUUGAGAUACCCAUCAUGACCAGGCCUUGGUUUGGGUUGUGAUAAGGUUGGUAUCAGAACCUAGGUUCAUAGUCAUUGGGUGUCCACAAAUCAAUGCCAAGAAGAGUCUCUAUUAUAGGUGUGUAGUAUGCCACACUUAUAAGAAAGGGACUAUAAGAUAUAUAAGAAUGUUUUCCUUUCUUGUGUUUUAUUUUUUAGUUAUAGAGUCUAAGGUCUUGAAAACUCUAUAACUUCUGGUGAAUCACAUUUUAGAUCAUGCCUCCUAGAAGAUCUAAUUCUCGUUGAAACACUUUUGUCCUACCUUAGGAUAAUGUGGAUGGUACUCUCCCUGUUUAUAAAGUUUAAACCCGGUCUAAGGUCCUGGAUCCUGACUGUACUGUCUCUCAUAGAGUCCCACCAGUCCCUACUAGUCCUCCUCGGGUUUCUAGGAAUGAUGAUACUCAUUCCCUAAUUCCUCAGGGUAAUGUGUCUAAUAUUGAGUUUCUCUAUUCCAGUCUUUUGUUAACCCAGAUAGUGACCUCUUUCUUACCCCAAUCUGGUCAUAUUAAUUGGAGGAGGAACCAGGCAAAGAUAAAAGAGAGAUAGAACCAGAAGUUCAAAUAUUCAUAGUAGGUUUAGGGUUAGUAAAAUAAUGGUAGACAUGGGAAAUAGUAGACUAAGAAGAGGAACUGGAGGAGUUCCUACGUGAUUGUUAGUGCUCUUUAUCCUAAUUCUUCUGGUGAUCAUUUCUUUUAGGCUAACAGUGGGUUUGAGGCACAAGGUACCCAAUCCAAGCUAGUGGAGUACAGUCAAAUCCACCUUAUCCUUCUUAUAGAGUCCGUAGUUGUAUUGUGGUCAGUGUAAAAAGAGAGGAAUUGAUGUAAUAAGUGUGUUCAUCUUGGUCACAUGCAGCGGGAGUGUCCUUCAGCUAGGUUUUCUACUUGGGAUAAUAAGGUUUAGUUUCUACUUCUUUAGUUCCCGUGCCAAAGGGUUGUACUUUUAGUACUGGUACUGUUUGAAACUAUCUUUAUGCCCUUGCUACCUGUCAGGAAUCUGAGGCAUCUUCUGUCGUCAUUAUUAGUAUGUUUCAACUUUUCUCUUUUAAUGUAUUUUGUCUGCUUAAUCUAGGGUCUACUCUUUAUUAAGUGACCCCAUAUAUGGCAGUUUAUUUUGGUUUUGGUUCUGAGAGUAUUUUUUAUCCCUUUUCUAUAUCUACCCUAGUAGGUGAUUUUAUUGUGGAUAGAAUGGUCUAUAGGGGUUAUGUGGUAUCUAUCUGUGGUCAGGAGACAUUGGUGGAUCUAAUAGAGUUGGAUAUGUUAGAUUUUGAUAUGAUAUUGAGGAUAUAUUGGCUUCACUCCUACUACGCUUCUCUUGAUUGACGGACCUAUAAGUUCAAUUUCUAAUUUCCUAAAGAACUGGUAAUAGAAUGGGAGGGAAGAUUUAUUUCUUAUCCUAGAGCCUGAAAGUUAAAUUCCCAUGGGGUGUCUAUAUCAUCUAGUUUAGGUUAAGGAUUCUAAUUCUAAAAGUCCUUUCUUUAAUCUAUCCCGCUGGUUAAUGAAUUUACUAAAAUAUUUCUUGAUGAUCUUCUUAGUAUUACUCCCGAUAGAGAAAUAGACUGUGGGAUUUAUCUUCCACUAGAUACCCGUCCUAUCUCUAUCCUUCUAUAUAGAAUAUCUCUGACUGAGUUGAAAGAACUUAAGGAACAACUAGAGGGUAUUCUCAAUAAAGGUUUCAUCCAUACAAAUGUCUCUUCAUAAGGUGCUCUCAUUCUUUUCGUGCGUAUAAAAGACAGGUCUCUUCCGAUGUUUAUAGACUAUAAAUAAUCAAAUAAGGUUUUUAUGAAGAAGAAUGUGCUUAUGGGCCAUAGCUAAGUUAAAUAAGGAAUUUUAGGUUGAUUUAUCUAUUGGAUGGACUAGUAUGUUAUGCGGGAUAUUUUAUUGGUGCAUGAUUAUUACUAGACCCUAAGCUUGAACCUUAAGUAUUGAUAGUGGUGAUAAGAAUGUUAGCUCGAGGAUAGUGAUGCGACAUGUAUGGGAAUAGAUUACUAGGAUUGACAUGAUAUAUGGAAGAGAUUAGGCUGAUAACUUAUAAAGUAUUAGAGUGGGUAAUUGUGAUAUAUUUAUACCAAAGGUAUAGUGUUGAAGUGAUAAACUAAUACAUAGUCAUUAGGUGGAUAAGAAUAUAUUAAACCCCAGGUAGCCUAGGUAGCCUUUUAUUAGAUGAGGUUUCAAGUAUGUAAGUUCCAUGUGUACCUAGUUCUUGUUAUUGAAUGUCUUUGUAUGGAGAAGUAUCAGGAGUUUGUAUAUGGUGUUCUUCAAAGCUUAAUUGAGGAGAAUAUGGAUAGACGAUAUGAUCCCUUGGUACAGUCUUAAGAAUUUUGUUAAGUUGUGAGGUUAUGUGAUUAGAGGUUUUCUUAUGGGUCAAGAAGUAUGGAUGUGUAUUCUCAUAAGAGUAUGACUUAUAGGGUGAUAUUUAUAGAGGCUAACAAAAAAUUAGAUUAGCAUCUAUGAAGGGUAGUGGCUUUAUAUUGUAGCUCUUGGGAGGGGGGUAGUUAGCGUUCAAAUAUACGGUGUUACCCUAUCAUGUGUGUGGUAAUCAUAGGUUAAUGAUAGGGUAUGUAUGAAAUUAUAUGAUGGUGAUCUCUUUCCUAAAACUUAUUUUUCUAAAGCAUGCAUUUAAAUUGUUAUUCCUAUGGUUUUAGGUUUGGCUUUUGAAUUUGGGUUGAGGGUUUUGGAUGAUUCUUGUUUGAAUGAUAUUCCCAUGAUUACACAUGCAUUAUCUAUACUUUAUUGAUGAUUUUGAACUAAUAGGGUGCAUGGGCAUGGUAAAUUGGAAUGACGGUUGUGGAUUUCCCCAAAUUGAUGAUUUUUGUUUGGAAUUGGAUUUGGAAAUAUUAUUUCCUCAACCCAGUGGCAUAAUUACUUGAAAACUUGGAUACAUGCACAUUGAGAACUAAAUUUAAACUAUGGCAAUGCAUAAAAGGUUAAUGGAACAUAAAUUGUCUUUUGAAAGGCCUUGGUGGCUAUGGAUUGAUGGGACCUUGGGGUACAGAUGGCUAGAUGGGUUAGAGUCCUAUUACCUGAUGGAUUUGAGUCCCAGUUGGCUAGAUUGGUUGGAGUCUUAUUGGCUAAUGAUUUCGAGUCCUAGUUGGCUAGAUAGGCUAGAGUCCUAUUGGCUAAUGGGUUUGACUCCCAAUUGGCUAGAUGGUCUGGAGUCUUAUUGGUUAGUGGGCAAGAGUCCCAAUGGCUACUUGAUUUAGCAUAGUGACAUUUGCUUACAAGCUAUAGUCGGUAUGACGAUACCACUUGAUAAUGCCUUAAUAAAUGACUCUUUGUUUAAAUGAAUGGGUUAUGUGCUAAAUGUUUUACUUGGUUUUAAAGAGGGUUAUGUAGAUAAGCUGUGAAAGUGGUGGACCUGAGAGACCGAUGAUCAAAACCUUAUUUGCCGGCGUGGGGGUCUAACUAGUCAGGUGUUCGAGUCAUCCUUUCUUUAUGAAUGCGUGGCUGAGUCACCCUUGAUAUAUGUUCAAAUAUUUAAGUCACCCUUGGUGUAUAUGCACAUAUGAUUAUUCUCUGGUUCAUAUGGCUAACACACACUGGGGCCCUUUCAGCAGGGAGUAUUGAGCCCAUAUAGCCCAUGGGUACCUUUUUAUGAUGGUUAAGCUACACAGUCCAGACUAAUAUUUUACAUUCAUGCUAAGCCUUGUUUCCUACCUCAACAUGUUAUAUAUAUAUAUAUAUAUAUGGAUAUAGAUGUGUUCAUUGGCUUUGAUUUAUUUUGACCUGAUUUGACAUUGGCAUUACUUUAUCCCUACCCUAAGUUAUAUGCUAGCGCUUACCUUACUAACUGUCUAUGGAUGUUGUUUCCCCUCGCGAUGCAAGGAACAGAGACACUUCUGCUUUUCCUGCGCAUUAAUAGGUAGUUCAUGGAUUGUUCGUAAGCCAUCUUGAAGUGAUGAGCCUCUUAUGGAAGGGUUGUUACUUAUUGGUCUAGUUUAUGUCAUAGACCGUUUCUUAUGGGUUCUUUUAGCUAUCAUCGUGGGCAUGUUCUGAAUAAGGUUGAUAUUGGUUUUGUUUUAGAGGCUUUGUGGAUUAUUGUGGAUUGGGUUGGUUGUUGAGAUUCUUGGAUUCCUUUCUGAGUUAGUUAAUUUAUCUAUCUCGUCAUAUGUUCAGAACUCAGUCCUAUCUUGUUAUAUGUUGGAAUUCAUCCGCUACUAGCUGUAUUGUGUUCUAUUUGACUAGGAAAAGGGGUGGUCUUCGGUCUUCGAUCUUCGACGGACUUGAGAUACCCAACACGACCAUGCCCUGGUUCGGAUUGUGAUAUGCACAUACCAAGUGUAUAAUUGGAACCAAAAUAAACAAAAGAAAAAAAGACUUACAUAUUUUUAUAUUUUUAGAAGAGAAAACAACUAAAAGAAAAAUAUAAAAUACACAAGUUUCAGUACAUCUUCGCAGAUUAAGAAGGAAUCACUAUGGCAAACCAACAUAUUUCUCCAAUAGCUAGUUACAAAGUACAUUAUAUUUGGAGAGUAGAACCAAUUGAUGCUUAGGGAGAUUUAAACACACAACUCCUCACGACAACCAACAUAUCUAAGCCAUCCUAGGUAUAAUUAACCAAAUCUCAGCAUCUAACUCAUAAGAUAAGAAAAGAACGUCCCCAAACUCCCAUAUUGAAAUAAAGAAGAGCUAUGACAAGAUAUGCACUAUCAAUUAUUCAAUCUAUGUUUUGGGAUGUUCCAAAUGAAACUACUUUGAUCAAUUAUGAUGGUGACAGAAAACUCAAUGCCGAAGAAAUCAAGUUUGACCAUUGGUAUAAACAAAAUACAUAAAACUUAUGGUAGAGCUAUGACUUAAAGGGCGUGAUAUCAUUCAUAUGUAUACCCUUCUAAACUAACGGCUAGAUCAAUAUUAUUAAUACAAAAAUUAGAAAAUAAAGUAUAUAGGCCAUACUUAAAGAUGAAGUGUCAAAUAUAACAUAGCAUGUAUGCACAUGUGUAUUAAGUGGUUUUAAAAUCAAACAAACCAAUUUCACAUGAAAUUUGGAUCACAAACACCUAAAGAUUUGUAUUUAGAAGACUAGAUAGGUCUGUGAGCAUAAAUCCUGAUAAUAAAGCCAUUCUCUCUUAACACGAUUCCAAUAAUCUAUCUCAAACAUCUCCUUCUACUAAUUUAGACGAGAAGGGAAGCAUGUAUAUGUUAUUAAAAUCAAAACGAUUUUGCAAGAACAAAACUGUUGCAGCUUAACAUAAAUAGGCUCAGAUUGAUGAGAUUAAAGGAAAUAAUAUCCUAAUACCAAAAGAUUAUUAUUUAACAAAAUCGCACAAUCAUUUCAAUGUAACCUUCAAUAUAAUAUCGAUUUUCUAAGAACAUUAAAAUUCACAAAAUUACUACUACAUAAUUAAGCUACAUUUAAAAAAAACACAACAAGGGAGAUUACACUUAAACAGAAUUAGAACCAACUACAUAGCAUAACAAAUCUAACAUUGUAACUAAACACACGGUAUGAAAAUUUUAUAAAAAGGGGAUAUUACCUUUUUCUGGGCGGUGAAUCAGAAACGGUGAGUCGAAUAGGUUCUUCACCAGUAAUUUUGACUUCAAGUGUUGGAAUUAAACAAUGAGGGCGGUAAAAUUUUGUUAGAGAUUGAAUGAAAGGAAGAAAUAGAUAAUAGAGAAGCUAGUGAAUGGAUGAGUAUGAAUGAACUCAAUAUAUUCCCUAAAUUCUCUAUCACUUCACUUAUCCAUGAAAGGGUUGAACAAGGCCCCUUUUUAUAGGCGAAAUAUCAAUCGUAACAACUUCUCAAAGAAGCUUUAAAACUUUUUAAACUUUUUAAUUCUUGAGCAACCAAAUUUCAGAGGGAUUGAUGGAUGAAAAGAAAUAAAGGAGGGAAAAAGUUCACUUUUUUCAGUGGAUUUGAAGGAAAAGUGAUAGAUUAAAGGCUACUGAGCAUAUGCCCAUCAGAUGAAGCUCUGCAGCCAUCGAAUCAAAUUGGGAUACUACCUUGAACCUAAUGGAUCCUCAAAUUUUUCCAUCUCUUCCCUGAAUAUUCAGAGCCUCGGGUUUGCUUUGCUCUAACAAAGAGACAAAAGAGAUAAAAGGUGAUUAUCCAAUGAAUUUGUACUUGUCCAUCAGCCCGAAGGUUAUAGUUGAUAUUGAAGUCAUUUCUAAAGUUUUGUUUUACGGGUUGAGUUUGGGUUUUUCUGUGAUGAAGAGGUAAAGAGAAAAAAUAGCUAUGCUAUUUGGGAAUGGGUCGGGUCCUUCGGUGUUUGGGUUGGGGCC
rnacentral:lncRNA from 1 species